CCUACGGGAGGCAGCAGUGGGGAAUAUUGGGCAAUGGGCGCAAGCCUGACCCAGCAACGCCGCGUGAAGGAAGAAGGCUUUCGGGUUGUAAACUUCUUUUCUGAGGGACGAAGAAAGUGACGGUACCUCCGGAAUAAGCCACGGUUAACUACGUGCCAGCAGCCGCGGUAAUACGUAGGGGGCAAGCGUUAUCCGGAUUUAUUGGGUGUAAAGGGCGGGUAGGCGGGAAAGCAAGUCAGAUGUGAAAACUCAGGGCUCAACCCUGGGCCUGCAUUUGAAACUGUUUUUCUUGAGUGCUGGAGAGGUAAUCGGAAUUCCGGGUGUAGCGGUGAAAUGCGUAGAUAUACGGAGGAACACCAGUGGCGAAGGCGGAUUGCUGGACAGCAACUGACGCUGAGGCGCGAAAGCGUGGGGAGCAAACAGGAUUAGAUACCCUAGUAGUC
rnacentral:rRNA from 1 species